UCACACUUUUCUUAGCUAGCUAUGUUAGGCAGUCUGUGACAAAGUACGUGACACUGUUAGCUCUUUAAUCUCUAUUACUUCAGCAAUAACCAGCAGGAGCUAACAAUGAGACCUGUGUUGAAAGAGGAUUUUACCAGUUCAAGUUAGUCAAUUUGAUCUAGUACUUGCGUCUUGGUGCAGUGGGGAGAGCAUAGAUAGCUUCUUUUUUCUUGAUAUGCUGAUUUGCAAAAUAAGAAGAAGAUGAAUGUCAUACCUGGAGUGAUUGAGAACAUCGUGGGAGGGAAAGAAAUGCGUAGGAUAAAAAAGGAAAUCCGUGCUAACUGUUACUAGGAGGGGACUUAAACAAUUCUAUCUAUUAAAUUCCAUUCUUCUUUUGAAAUAUUACCUUUUGAAUAUUCAUUCUGAAAAAUGUACAAAGAUCUAAGCAAUUAAAUAGUCAUAUUCUUCUCCUGUUUCAAUUAUGUUAGAAUUCUCAAUUUUGAGGUGACUGGAUUGUUACUUCAAAAAAACUGCAGGCUGAGACGGAUAAAGGGAAGGGAAUCGGUGUUGUGCUAUUUCAUAUUGAAGCCAACCUAGAGAGCUUGGUUGGUGCAAGUUCGAGGAUUGACAUGAUCCUGGGUGUUUUGGGAUGGUCCACGGGCUGCAGUUGGUCAGAGAACAAACAGUUUCUAGAAUGCUAAUUUAGUGGCCUGGUGAAGAGUACUUGCCCAGCUGUUGAAAGCUUGGGGAAGAAAGUUUUGUUCAGUGAAACCUGAGUUCUUUUUAUCUUCUAGUUGUCAAUUCUUUUUCUCCUCCCACCAUCUUGACAAGUAUAGAAGCAAGCAAUAUUAGGUAAUAUGGUGUCGGGCGACUGUAUAUAAAGGAAGAGUAGCAAACCAGUUAUACUUGUAAAGGAAUUUUCAAUUAUACGAACUCCAACAAAAGUAUGUUAGACAGUUAUACAAAAUAAAUAUAUUAAAUAUCUUCCAUCUUAUCCUUUUUUA